UACAGAGGGUGCGAGCGUUGUCCGGAAUCACUGGGCGUAAAGGGCGCGUAGGCGGUUUUGUAAGUCGGGGGUGAAAUGCUGCGGCUCAACCGCAGCGCUGCCUUCGAGACUGCAAGACUGGAGCACGGUAGAGGCGGAUGGAAUUCCCGGUGUAGCGGUGGAAUGCGUAGAGAUCGGGAGGAACACCAGUGGCGAAGGCGGCACCCUGGACCAGCACUGACACUGAGGCACGAAAGCGUGGGGAGCAAACAGG
rnacentral:rRNA from 1 species